CCGGCACGGGUGAGUAACACGUAUGCAAUCCACCUGUAACAGGGGGAUAACCCGGAGAAAUCCGGACUAAUACCCCAUAAUAUGGGCGCUCCGCAUGGAGAGCCCAUUAAAGAGAGCAAUUUUGGUUACAGACGAGCAUGCGCUCCAUUAGCCAGUUGGCGGGGUAACGGCCCACCAAAGUGACGAUGGAUAGGGGUUCUGAGAGGAAGGUCCCCCACAUUGGAACUGAGACACGGUCCAA
rnacentral:rRNA from 1 species